GGGCAAUUAGCUCAGUUGGAAGAGCACUGCCUUGGCAUGGCAGGGGUCGAGGGUUCAAUUCCCUCAUUGUCCACCA
rnacentral:tRNA from 1 species